rnacentral:rRNA from 1 species
CCGGCGAGUGGCGAACGGGUGAGUAAUAUAUCGGAACGUACCGAGUAAUGGGGGAUAACCAAUCGAAAGAUUGGCUAAUACCGCAUACGUCCUACGGGAGAAAGCGGGGGAUCGCAAGACCUCGCGUUAUUCGAGCGGCCGAUAACUGAUCAGCUAGUUGGUGGGGUAAAGGCCUACCAAGGCGACGAUCAGUAGCGGGUCUGAGAGGACGAUCCGCCACACUGGGACUGAGACACGGCCCAG